rnacentral:rRNA from 1 species
GAGUUUGAUCAUGGCUCAGGAUUAACGCUGGCGGCAUGCCUAAUACAUGCAAGUCGAACGAGAUCUUCGGAUCUAGUGGCGCACGGGUGCGUAACGCGUGGGAAUCUGCCCUUGGGUUCGGAAUAACAGUUAGAAAUGACUGCUAAUACCGGAUGAAGUCUUCGGACCAAAGAUUUAUCGCCCAGGGAUGAGCCCGCGUAGGAUUAGGUAGUUGGUGGGGUAAAGGCCUACCAAGCCGACGAUCCUUAGCUGGUCUGAGAGGAUGAUCAGCCACACUGGGACUGAGACACGGCCCAGACUCCUACGGGAGGCAGCAGUGGGGAAUAUUGGACAAUGGGCGAAAGCCUGAUCCAGCAAUGCCGCGUGAGUGAUGAAGGCCUUAGGGUUGUAAAGCUCUUUUACCCGGGAUGAUAAUGACAGUACCGGGAGAAUAAGCUCCGGCUAACUUCGUGCCAGCAGCCGCGGUAAUACGAGGGGAGCUAGCGUUGUUCGGAAUUACUGGGCGUAAAGCGCACGUAGGCGGCUUUGUAAGUAAGGGGUGAAAGCCCAGAGCUCAACUCUGGAAUUGCCUUUUAGACUGCAUCGCUUGAAUCCAGGAGAGGUGAGUGGAAUUCCGAGUGUAGAGGUGAAAUUCGUAGAUAUUCGGAAGAACACCAGUGGCGAA